CAGCAGUGAGGAAGGUGGAUAUGUUAAUAGCAUAUUCUAGUUGACGUUAGCUGCAGAAGAAGCACCGGCUAACUCCGUGCCAGCAGCCGCGGUAAUACGGAGGGUGCGAGCGUUAAUCGGAAUUACUGGGCGUAAAGCGCAUGCAGGUGGUUUGUUAAGUCAGAUGUGAAAGCCCGGGGCUCAACCUCGGAAUUGCAUUUGAAACUGGCAAACUAGAGUACUGUAGAGGGGGUAGAAUUUCAGGUGUAGCGGUGAAAUGCGUAGAGAUCUGAAGGAAUACCGGUGGCGAAGGCGGCCCCCUGGACAGAUACUGACACUCAGAUGCGAAAGCGUGGGGAGCAAACAGGAUUAGAUACCCUGGUAG
rnacentral:rRNA from 1 species